CAGAUUGAACGCUGGCGGCAGGCCUAACACAUGCAAGUCGAGCGGAUGAAGGGAGCUUGCUCCUGGAUUCAGCGGCGGACGGGUGAGUAAUGCCUAGGAAUCUGCCUGGUAGUGGGGGAUAACGUCCGGAAACGGGCGCUAAUACCGCAUACGUCCUGAGGGAGAAAGUGGGGGAUCUUCGGACCUCACGCUAUCAGAUGAGCCUAGGUCGGAUUAGCUAGUUGGUGGGGUAAAGGCCUACCAAGGCGACGAUCCGUAACUGGUCUGAGAGGAUGAUCAGUCACACUGGAACUGAGACACGGUCCAGACUCCUACGGGAGGCAGCAGUGGGGAAUAUUGGACAAUGGGCGAAAGCCUGAUCCAGCCAUGCCGCGUGUGUGAAGAAGGUCUUCGGAUUGUAAAGCACUUUAAGUUGGGAGGAAGGGCAGUAAGUUAAUACCUUGCUGUUUUGACGUUACCAACAGAAUAAGCACCGGCUAACUUCGUGCCAGCAGCCGCGGUAAUACGAAGGGUGCAAGCGUUAAUCGGAAUUACUGGGCGUAAAGCGCGCGUAGGUGGUUCAGCAAGUUGGAUGUGAAAUCCCCGGGCUCAACCUGGGAACUGCAUCCAAAACUACUGAGCUAGAGUACGGUAGAGGGUGGUGGAAUUUCCUGUGUAGCGGUGAAAUGCGUAGAUAUAGGAAGGAACACCAGUGGCGAAGGCGACCACCUGGACUGAUACUGACACUGAGGUGCGAAAGCG
rnacentral:rRNA from 1 species